UACGUAGGGUGCGAGCGUUAAUCGGAAUUACUGGGCGUAAAGCGUGCGCAGGCGGUUAUGCAAGACAGAUGUGAAAUCCCCGGGCUCAACCUGGGAACUGCAUUUGUGACUGCAUAGCUAGAGUACGGUAGAGGGGGAUGGAAUUCCGCGUGUAGCAGUGAAAUGCGUAGAUAUGCGGAGGAACACCGAUGGCGAAGGCAGCCCCCCUGGGCUGACACUGACGCUCAGGCACGAAAGCGUGGGGAGCAAACAGG
rnacentral:rRNA from 1 species